rnacentral:rRNA from 1 species
UUAAGCAUAUCAAUAAGCGGAGGAAAAGAAACCAACAGGGAUUACCUCAGUAACGGCGAGUGAAGCGGUAACAGCUCAAAUUUGAAAUCUGGCUCCUUUGGGGCCCGAGUUGUAAUUUGUAGAAGAUGCUUUGGGUGUGGGCCUGGCCUAAGUUCCUUGGAACAGGACGUCGUAGAGGGUGAGAAUCCCGUAUGCGGCUGGCGCCCGCGCCCAUGUAAAGCUCUUUCGACGAGUCGAGUUGUUUGGGAAUGCAGCUCUAAAUGGGUGGUAAAUUUCAUCUAAAGCUAAAUAUUGGCCAGAGACCGAUAGCGCACAAGUAGAGUGAUCGAAAGAUGAAAAGCACUUUGGAAAGAGAGUUAAACAGUACGUGAAAUUGUUGAAAGGGAAGCGCUGGCAACCAGACUUGGGCGCUGUUGAUCCGUUAGGGUUCUCCCUGGGGUACUCAGCAGUGCGCAGGCCAGCAUCGGUUUGGGGGGUUGGAGAAAGGCUGGUGGAAUGUGGCUGCCUUCGGGCAGUGUUAUAGCCACCGGUGGCAUGCAGCCUCCCCGGACCGAGGACCGCGCUUCGGCUAGGAUGCUGGCGUAAUGGUUGUCAGCGACCCGUCUUGAAA